rnacentral:rRNA from 1 species
CCUACGGGAGGCAGCAGUGAGGAAUAUUGGUCAAUGGACGAGAGUCUGAACCAGCCAAGUAGCGUGAAGGAUGACUGCCCUAUGGGUUGUAAACUUCUUUUAUAUGGGAAUAAAACGUUCCACGUGUGGGAUUUUGUAUGUACCAUAUGAAUAAGGAUCGGCUAACUCCGUGCCAGCAGCCGCGGUAAUACGGAGGAUCCGAGCGUUAUCCGGAUUUAUUGGGUUUAAAGGGAGCGUAGGUGGGUUGUUAAGUCAGUUGUGAAAGUUUGCGGCUCAACCGUAAAAUUGCAAUUGAUACUGGCAGCCGGGAGUACAGUUGAGGUAGGCGAAAUUCGUGGUGUACCGGUGACAUGCUUAGAUAUCACGAAGAACUACGAUUGCGAAGGCAUCCUAAUAAACUGCCACGGACAUUGAUGCUCGAAAGUGUGGGUAUCAAACAGGAGUAGAUACACGGGUAGUC